rnacentral:rRNA from 1 species
UACGGGGGGGGCAAGCGUUGUUCGGAAUUACUGGGCGUAAAGGGUUUGUAGGUGGCCGGCUAAGUCAGACGUGAAAUCCCUCAGCUUAACUGGGGAACUGCGUCUGAUACUGGAUGGCUUGAAUUCGGGAGAGGGAUGCAGAAUUCCAGGUGUAGCGGUGAAAUGCGUAGAUAUCUGGAGGAAUACCGGUGGCGAAGGCGGCAUCCUGGACCGACAUUGACGCUGAGGAGCGAAAGCCAGGGGAGCAAACGGG